rnacentral:rRNA from 1 species
UACGGAGGGUGCGAGCGUUACUCGGAAUUACUGGGCGUAAAGGGCGCGUAGGCGGCCGUGCAAGUCUGGUGUGAAAGCCCAGGGCUUAACCCUGGAAGUGCACUGGAAACUGCACGGCUUGAGUGCCGGAGAGGAGGGGGGAAUUCCCGGUGUAGCGGUGAAAUGCGUAGAUAUAUGGAGGAACACCGGUGGCGAAAGCGGCUCUCUGGACUGACACUGACACUGAGGUGCGAAAGCGUGGGUAGCAAACAGG